rnacentral:rRNA from 1 species
UGCCAGCCGCCGCGGUAACACGUACUGUGCAAACGUUAUUCGGAAUCACUGGGCUUAAAGGGUACGUAGGCGGUUAAUCAAGUCAGAUGUGAAAUGCCACAGCUCAACUGUGGCACUGCGUUUGAAACUGAUUGGCUAGAGUAUUCCAGGGGUGUGCGGAACUGCCAGUGGAGCGGUGAAAUGCGUUGAUAUUGGCAGGAACACCGGAGGCGAAGGCGGCACACUGGGGGAUAACUGACGCUGAGGUACGAAAGCCAGGGUAGCGAACGGGAUUAGAUA